rnacentral:rRNA from 1 species
AACGAACGCUGGCGGCAUGCCUAACACAUGCAAGUCGAACGAGACCUUCGGGUCUAGUGGCGCACGGGUGCGUAACGCGUGAGAACCUGCCCUUAGGUUCGGAAUAACUCCCCGAAAGGGGUGCUAAUACCGGAUAAUGUCUUCGGACCAAAGAUUUAUCGCCUUUGGAUGGGCCCGCGUUGGAUUAGCUAGUUGGUAGGGUAAAAGCCUACCAAGGCGACGAUCCAUAGCUGGUCUGAGAGGAUGAUCAGCCACACUGGGACUGAGACACGGCCCAGACUCCUACGGGAGGCAGCAGUGGGGAAUAUUGGACAAUGGGCGAAAGCCUGAUCCAGCAAUGCCGCGUGAGUGAUGAAGGCCUUAGGGUUGUAAAGCUCUUUUACCCGGGAUGAUAAUGACAGUACCGGGAGAAUAAGCUCCGGCUAACUCCGUA